CUCUGUACUAUCGCGUGUGUGGAGUUUUUACAGCAGAGUUGAUGUGUCUGGUAAUAGUCUUGUGUUUGUAGCCUUUCUGUCUCCCAGAUCGGUGAAAAUACAUUUAGAUGGGAAUCAUGGUCAUUAGGAUCAGGGCAUAUGCAAUGGUACCUAGUGGCUUGGCUGUAGAUGAUGCCCUGUUUAGUAUGGGAGGGGUGGAAGCUGGAACUGUGAAGGUAACUGCACCUGUCUGUGGGUUUGCUGUAAACCGAGGUGUGGAUUGUGCCCUUGUUGCAUGUCACAGUGGUGUCCAGAAAAUUCAAAGAUCUAGUGGAAUUUUUAGUUUGCUGGAUGAAGUGUGUUAAGAGUCAAG